GUGGGGAAUUUUGGACAAUGGGCGCAAGCCUGAUCCAGCAAUGCCGCGUGCAGGAAGAAGGCCUUCGGGUUGUAAACUGCUUUUGUACGGAACGAAACGGUCCUGGCUAAUAUCCGGGGCUAAUGACGGUACCGUAAGAAUAAGCACCGGCUAACUACGUGCCAGCAGCCGCGGUAAUACGUAGGGUGCGAGCGUUAAUCGGAAUUACUGGGCGUAAAGCGUGCGCAGGCGGUGCUGUAAGACAGGCGUGAAAUCCCCGGGCUCAACCUGGGAAUUGCGCUUGUGACUGCAGUGCUGGAGUGCGGCAGAGGGGGAUGGAAUUCCGCGUGUAGCAGUGAAAUGCGUAGAUAUGCGGAGGAACACCGAUGGCGAAGGCAAUCCCCUGGCCUGCACUGACGCUCAUGCACGAAAGCGUGGGGAGCAAACAGGAUUAGAUACCCCUGUAGUCC
rnacentral:rRNA from 1 species